rnacentral:rRNA from 1 species
GACGAACGCUGGCGGCGUGCUUAACACAUGCAAGUCGAACGGAAAGGCCCUGCUUUUGUGCUGUGCUCGAGUGGCGAACGGGUGAGUAACACGUAAGUAACCUGCCCUUGACUUUCGGAUAACUUCAGGAAACUGGGGCUAAUACCGGAUAGGAUCUCCUGCUGCAUGGUGGGGGUUGGAAAGUUUCGGCGGUUGGGGAUGGACUCGCGGCUUAUCAGCUUGUUGGUGGGGUAGUGGCUUACCAAGGCUUUGACGGGUAGCCGGCCUGCGAGGGUGACCGGCCACAUUGGGACUGAGAUACGGCCCAGAGUCGUACGGGAGGCAGCAGUGGGGAAUAUUGCACAAUGGGAGGAAGUGUGAUGCAGAAACGCCGCGUGCGGGAUGACGGCCUGCGGGUUGUAAACCGCAUUCGGUUGUGACGAAGCGGGAGUGACGGUAAUGGGUAAAGAAGCACCGGCUAACUACGUG